CUGACCUACGGGGCGCAGCAGUGGGGAAUAUUGCACAAUGGGGGGAACCCUGAUGCAGCGACGCCGCGUGGGUGAAGAAGUCAUUCGUGACGUAAAGCCCUAUCAGCAGGGAAGAAAAUGACGGUACCUGACUAAGAAGCCCCGGCUAACUACGUGCCAGCAGCCGCGGUAAUACGUAGGGGGCAAGCGUUAUCCGGAUUUACUGGGUGUACAGGGAGCGUAGACGGCGGCGCACGUCCGGAGUGAAAGCCCACGGCCCAACCGUGGGCCUGCUCUGGCCACUGUGCGGCUUGAGUGCGCGAGGG
rnacentral:rRNA from 1 species